rnacentral:lncRNA from 1 species
CACCCGGGACUGGGGCGGUGGGUCUCGGUUCCUGGGGACCGGAGCGGUGGGUCCAGGCUCCCCGAGCCCGCCCGGGGCUGGAGCGUUGGAUUUCGACUCCCCGAGCCCACCCGGGACUGGGGCGGUGGGUCUCGGUUCCUGGGGACCGGAGCAGUGGGUCCCGGCUCCCCGAGCCGGCCCGGGGCUGGAGUGUUGGAUUCCGGUUCCCGAGCCCACCCGGGACUGGGCCAGUGGGUCUGGGUUCCCGGGGACCGAAGCGGUGGGUCCCGGCUCCCCAAGCCCACCCGGGACUGGGGCGGUGGGUCUGGGUUCCCGGGAACCGGAGAGGUGGUUCGCUGCUCCCCAAGCCCACCCGGGACUGGGCCAGAGGGUCUGGGUUCCUGGGGACCGGAGCGGUGGUUCGCUGCCCCCCAAGCCCGCCCAGGGCUGGAGCGUUGGAUUCCGGUUCCCGAGCCCACCCGGGGCUGGGCCGGUGGGUCUGCGUUCCCGGGGACCGGAGCGGUGGGUCCCAGCUCCCCAAGCCCACCCGGGACUGGGGCGGUGGGUCUGGGUUCCCGGGAACCGGAGAGGUGGUUUGCUGCUCCCCAAGCCCACCCGGGGCUGGGCCAGAGGGUCUGGGUUCCCGGGGACCGGAGCGGUGGUUCGCUGCCCCCCAAGCCCGCCCAGGGCUGGAGCGUUGGAUUUCGGCUCCCCAAGCCCACCCGAGACUGGGGCGGUGGGUCUUGGUUCCUGGGGACCGGAGCAGUGGGUCCCGGCUCCCCAAGCCCACCCGGGACUGGGGCGGUGGGUCUGGGUUCCCGGGAACCGGAGAGGUGGUUCGCUGCUCCCCAAGCCCACCCGGGACUGGGCCGGUGGGUCUGGGUUCCCGAGGACCGGAGCGGUGGGUCCCGGCUCCCCAAGCCCACCCGUGUGUCCGGAUGGGUCCGGGGGCGGCGGGGAGCGCUGCGGCGGCGGCGCCGGGUGCGUGGGGCGGUGGAGCCGGGGACGGAGGGGAGAAAAGGGCGAGAGAGGAGAAGAGGAAAAAGCCGGAGGGGAAGGAAUGUUAGAGGGAAAGCGGGGGGGAGGCUACAGCCCUUACAUGGGAAAAUAUGGGCUAAUCUGCUGAUGGUGUGCGUGUGA